rnacentral:lncRNA from 1 species
CUUUUUGGUAAGUAAUAUAUAUUCCAUACUCAGGUUAGCUAUCAAAAGAAUUAAGCAUUUGUGAUCUUUGGUUGAAAACUUUUACUAAAGCCAUAUUUAUUAUCUUCUUUGUCGCUACAGCUAUUGACCUUAAAGAUUAGGUUGAUCUAGCACAGCACUCUUGGGUUAAGUAUUCAAGGUUAUUUCAUUAGUGUUCCUGAAUGUAAACAGGUUUUUCUUGAAUACUUAGAGCAGGUAAGAUCGUCUUUGUAAAUAAUAGAUUAGCACUCUUCUGGUAUAC